GUUUUAAUAAUUUAUUUAAAAUACUGGUCUUGUAAACCGGAAAUAAGAUUUAUUCUUUUAAAACU
rnacentral:tRNA from 2 species